AUGCUCCCUCCGCAUCACAUAUAUUAAAAUUGGAACAAUACAGAGAAGAUUAGCAUGGCCCUGCUUAGUGAUGACACACAAAUUCAUGGAAAAAAAUGUAGAUAU